UAUAUAAAUGACGUCUUUGGAGGCCUGGUCAGCCCCAUGUUGUUUGAGAAACCUCCAUUGAUGUUACAUUUUAAUUUAUUGUAGAUUUAAAAGAAUGCUUUCGAAAACAUUAGGACAUGACCUUCUACCAGGGCAGAGUGAAGAAAAAGCAAAGACCAAGGCUCGGUUUGAAGAAGAUUAAGAGCUAUGCAGUUCAUCUACUGAUGAAAAUAAAUCAAAAAUGAAAAGCACCCAGCCUCAGGAUAGUUUUGCGCUUGAAACCUUGAAAAACAGCCUUGACCUGAAAAAAUGUGGAUGACAAGACCAUCAUCAACAACACCUACAAACAAGAAGUGGGGAGCCCUCAGUUCACAAAGAACAAGUUAAGAGAGAAAACCUUAACGACAGCAACAACAAUGCCCUGAUUGAAGAGGACAGAUAACCACCAAAGACCAUGAAGAAGGAUGUUAUUAAGGACCAGGGCUAGUGUGGGAAUCCUCAAUACAUCAUCAGCACUUCUUUUGAGAGAGAUGGCACAAACUGCUAAGGUUGCAAAAUCUGGAGGCUGAUGAAACCAUUCAGAAGCCUGAAAGAAGAAAGGCAAAAAAAAUGCUGCAAGAGUUAUCAAAGGACGAAGAGGAGGACGAGCAACUCUUCCAGAAAUAUCCACAUCAAAUUGCUGAAGUGUAAGCCAAGGAAAUAAAAAAAGAAAAAAAAAAACUAGAAAGAAGAUUGCUGAAACAAUGUCAGAUUCUACUGUGAGGCGGGCAAGAAGAAAAAGCAAAAAAAUGUGCUAAUUGCAACUGAAGGUGAAACAAGAUUGUAGGUAUUAAGAGUCCUAAAUGUGGAAGGGAAAUUCAGACUACAACUCUAUUGCCCACCUCCCAGAGGAAGGAUGCGGCUCAACACUGGAGGUGUUUUGAGUGGUGGAAAAGGUACCCAAGGAAUCGAUGCUCACCAACACUUUGUUAGUGAAAUGCUUAAAAUUGGAAGAUCAUUAUUUUUUCAGGUUGAUCCUUGUGAUCACUCAAUGAUGGCUCUACAUGAGGAGAGGAGUAAUACCUUAUACAGCGAACUUCAGAAUGAGGUCACAAAGGGUUAUAACCUCCAGGAGGAAAAGAGAAUUGAGUUUCUGAAGUGGAGCAGGCUGCCUGGCCAGAGAUUUGACAUAUCCCAAACAAGCCUUUGCUAUCCUUUCGAGGGGGCAGAUGGGCUGUUUCUGUGUCGCUUCUCCAAUGGUGGAAAAACAUUGGCAUGUGCUUGUGCUGACAAAGAUGGUUAUCCUAUUGUAGGAAAUGGGAUCUGAUCACCACCACCUACUAUUUCACACCGAAGUAUGAUGGCUAGCAAGAGGGAGAGUAUGACUUCCUUUUGGAGCUACGUGAGGUUAAAACAUUAUUAAUUGAUCCCCGGUCUAAUCAUGUAAACCACAUUCAUGAUUGCUCUUGGCUGGCUCUGCUUGCUUACCUAGUUGAUAUUUUUGACCAGAGGAAGUGUGGAUUACAGUGAUCUUAAAGCCUUCAUUGUUGAACAUCACAGGACUGAAACAGCAGUUUAGCGACUACUUACAGGAAGAUGGCUGUUCACUUGUCUGGGUUCAUGAUUCGUUCGUCACUUCAGUUGGUUCAACCUUCUUUCCGUGGAGAUGGAAGAACAGUUUAUUGAGCUGACAUGCGACAACAGACAGAAGCACAUUUCUGGCUCUCAGUUGCACAGGAAUUCCCUCAACUCUCUGCUGCUGCAGUGAACGUGCUCCUGCCUUUUGCUUCCACAUACCUCUGCGAAGCUGGAUUUUCCAAACUAGCAGUCUUGAAAACAAAAAUACUGAAAUUGGUUGAAGAGGACUUAAGACUCUCCCUUUCGACCAUUGAGCCUUGCACUGACCUGCUAUGCAUUACCAGGCAAGCUCAACUUUACCACUGACUGAAAUCAGCAGCACUAUACAUUUUGAUUUCUGAAAUGUGUUUUGUAUCUGGUGCUAUUUUUGUCUUGAUGGAGGCGGUGGCAAGUAAAAAAAAAAAAAAAAAAAAGAAAAAAAACGCUACGAUGUGGCACGAGUUAUAAAAGGUUGAGAACCCGUUUUAUGGUAAAUUGCUAUUAAUACCAGUAAAUGUGGAAUUUUGGUAUGUUGUCUAACAAUUUUGCUCAAAUUUGAUUUUUCAGCAUUUUAGUGUGUUUCCCACUUGUUAAUGUCUGUUUACUGCAACAAGUAAUGAUAACGAAAACUUAAGCAUUGAUGUACUAUUAAUUUUUACCAUCAGAUGGCAGUAUACCAUUG